UACGUAGGGUGCGAGCGUUGUCCGGAAUUAUUGGGCGUAAAGAGCUCGUAGGCGGUCUGUUACGUCUGCUGUGAAAACCCUGGGCUUAACCCUGGGCUUGCAGUGGAUACGGGCAGACUAGAGGCAGGUAGGGGAGAAUGGAAUUCCCGGUGUAGCGGUGAAAUGCGCAGAUAUCGGGAGGAACACCGGUGGCGAAGGCGGUUCUCUGGGCCUGACCUGACGCUGAGGCACGAAAGCUAGGGGAGCAAACAGG
rnacentral:rRNA from 1 species